UCCUCAGUAGUAUAGUGGUAUGUAUCCCUGCCUGUCACACAGGAAACUGAGGUUCAAUUCUUCACCAGGGAG
rnacentral:tRNA from 1 species